rnacentral:lncRNA from 1 species
AAUAAUAAAGACCUAGGUCUCUAUCACUUAUAGUUUACCAGUUAGAAAUGCAUAUCACUGAUAUCAUAUAUAAAAGGGGGGAUAACUCUCAUAUGGAGUCUCCGGAUAGCUUCCGUUGAAAUGAAACAGAACAUCCUAAGGAUAUAACGAGCAAUUUGGAAAAAUAAAUUUGUCGGUUUCUUAUACGGUUGCGAAGUAGUAGUGGCCACAAGAAAAACAGUGUUUGGGGAGAUAACUCUUACAAGGUAAAGGUUUUUGUUACGCGGUGUCAGUUUCAGAAGCGCAUUAACUGUUCGAUAUCAUAUACCAAAUAUCUAAGCGACAUCUUGUGAAACAAAAAAACAGCGAAGGAAAAAAAAGUUGGCGGAAGAAAAAAAAAAAAAAAAAAUAAUAAUAAUCAGAACAAACCCUAUAGGUCUUUCAACUGAAAGGUUGAAAGACCUAAUAAUAAUAAUAAUCAGAACGAAUACAAUAGGUCUUUCACCUGAAAGGUUGAAAGACCUAAUAAUAAUUAAAAACCAAUUGUUCAAAGAACAAUUGAAGGUCUUUCAACCAAUAAGGAUCUAUUUUGAUAUGAAAAUAUUAAGAUUCAGUUGAAAAUGUCAGUUGCUAUGGCUUUAUGAUAUGAAAAUAUGAAUUUCGAGCAAAGGUCAAAAUCUAGAACGUCCAAUUAACCUAUGACCUUGACCCCAAUUUCAAGGUUAUAAACCAAGGAUCCCAAAUCAAAAGACCCUAGGUCAGUAGUAUGUAUGGUUCAUGAGUAAUAACACUUUACGCAUAAUUCUAAAUAUAAGAGGGGCAAAAACUCCCGUUUAUUGUCUACGCACC